ACUGGAAAACAUGGGGACACAGACACUGGGACACAUGGGGAUGCUGAGACACAUGGGGAUGCUGUGAGACAUAGGGACAUUGGGACACGGCGACACUAUGUCCCCCAGCCAGUGUCCCUAGUGUCUCAGUGUCCCCAAGUCUCCCAGUGUCUGUGUCCCAUGUCUCUCAGUG